UGCCAGCCGCCGCGGUAAUACGGAGGAGGCAAGCGUUGUUCGGAAUUAUUGGGCUUAAAGCGCGUGUAGGCGGCCAAGUAAGUGUCUUGUGAAAUCCCUCGGCUCAACCGAGGAACUGCUCGGCAUACUGCUUGGCUUGAGGUCGGUAGAGGUGACUGGAACUCUAGGUGGAGCGGUGAAAUGCGUAGAUAUCUAGAGGAACGCCGGAGGCGAAAGCGGGUCACUGGGCCGAUUCUGACGCUGAGACGCGAAAGCGUGGGUAGCAAACAGGAUUAGAUA
rnacentral:rRNA from 1 species